UUAUGACCUGAGCCGAAGACAGAGGCUUUAACCCACUGAGCCAUCCAGACGCCCCUGGAGAUGCAUUUUGUUCAACUUAAAUGGCUCUACGUAGAAAAAGGUGAUUCUCAAGUGUCUAUGCUGUAAAAAGUAGCAAGUUGGAAUCUGUAUUUGUUAACAAUAAAUAUGUAAUGCCAAACAAAAAGUAUUUAUUAGGUCAUCACUUGUGUUAUUACUGUAUAGUGUACAAAAACCAAAUGAGGCAUUUGCUGCUGACCAGGAGUUAGGUUUAAAGGGGUUUAAAAUAGGUUAAAAUAGGUUUAAAGGGGAAGAUGAUAUUUGUCAUUAUCAUGAUCUAGUAUUUAUGGAAUGUCUGUUACACUGUAACUAGUCAUUGUAAUUCCUUAUACGUCUGGGAUAUUACUCUGGAUGCUUUACAUAGUAGUAUUUGAUGAUGAUAACUUGGUUGGGAGUAUAGGAUCUUUGUAUAUGGAAGGAAUAUAAUUGUAGGCUAAAUGCUGGGUAAGUGGUACAGACAAGUAUUAAAGGUUUUGUGAGAAGGAAAGCAAGGACCCAGAUGUGCAGAAGGGCUGGGGGAGGUUUUAGCAGGUGCAGUCAGGAACAUAAACAUAUAUAUUAAAUAUUCAAUUUGGCUGAAGUGGGUUUUGACCGGCUAUGGAAGGACCUUGAAUGCCACACUAAGUUUGAACUUGCUUCUCUUGGUCAUAGGGUAAUAUAAAGACAUUUUUAUCAGAAAUGAUAGAACAAAGUGGUUUUUUAGGAGAGUCAGUGGGAUGAUGUGGAGUUCGAAAAAGCCGGAAAAGAGAAGACCAAUUAGGAAAUGUUUGCAGUACAUUUCCUAAUUGGUCUUCCCUUUUUAUUUUCACUUGUCAACCUCCUGUAUCUUUUUAGAUAUGCUGCCUCUAUUGCUCUAGUUAGUAACCCUUUGAAGUUUGGAUUUAGAUCACUUUGAAUCGAUACGUGGCAGCUCACCAGACUUAAAGAAGUGAGCGCCACAGCCCAGAAGUCCUGUCGAUUUACAUAGAGGCAAUUGUCAAAAUUGGUUAACUGGAAGAGUUAUUCUAGUUGGCCUCCAGGGAAUCCUAUAACUUACGAUUCCAGCAGUUCUCAGUGGUUUCAAAGAACAUUCAAAGGAAUAUUUAUGACCAGACAUAGAUACUUGGAUAGUCACUUAUGUAAUGAAAUGAGUUACUAUGCAGAAAGCACUUAGGUGCCCAGUAACAAAAACAAAAACAAAAACCACACAAAAAACAAAGUCUAAUAAAGGUUAGGUUAAAAAUCAAGACAGACAACCCUCUGAUAAGGCACAAAAUUCCAGGCCAGAAGGAGACAUUUGAGGGAUUACUCGAGUUUUUUCUUGCAGAUGCUCAUAGGUGAAACAGAAGAAAAUGCAGGCUUUGCCUACUGUUCUAAUUUCAAACAAAACUAAGGUAGAAAAGGGUUAUUAUUGUGGCCAUUAAGGACAGAGUAGUGACCAUUAUGGUUUACUUAGUGACAGUCUUAUAAAAAUGAGUGUAAACAUGAAAGGGCAUGAAGUUGAACAUCCAGCAGAUGGUCACUCCAAAGGAAAAGACGGGCUUCAGUCUUUGGUCAAGCUCUUUCCCAGUUAUGACUACCCUGGCAUUGUGCCAUAGCAUAUGUGAAUCCAGAAACCAAAGUGGAUUGUAGAGGAAAGGGGUCCUUCCUCUUUUUUUAAAAAAUUGAAUUACUGAUCUAUAACUCACAUACCAUGUAAAAUUGACCCAUUUAAAGUAUACAGUUCACCCCUGGGGCUAAUAACACA